rnacentral:rRNA from 1 species
UACGUAGGAUGCAAGCGUUGUCCGGAAUUAUUGGGCGUAAAGCGAACGUAGGCGGUUUCUUAAGUUUGUGCUUAAAGACCAGGGCUCAACCCUGGGAGUGGCAUGAAUACUGGGAGACUGGAGGAUGUCAGAGGAAAGUGGAAUUCCUAGUGUAGCGGUGAAAUGCGUAGAUAUUAGGAGGAACGACCAGUGGCGAAGGCGGUCUCUGGGCCGAUACGUGA